AUGUACGCGUACGGACGUGGCCCAGUCAACGCAGGCGUCGAGACUGUCGUCCUCCUCUCGACAGAGGCCGCACGGGACUUGGGGACGAGCACUCCUGCUCGAAGAAGAGGAAGCAGAGGUCAGCGGCAGGUUCGAGAGAUUAGGAAGGUGGAAGAAGAAGGGAUGGAAAAGGAGAAGGGCGACGAGGGCUGGCCUUGCCGCGGUGGUCUCCAGGGCGAGUCGAGGCGGGGCGCACUGCUGCUGGCCAGCGCGUGGACGAGCUCCUGCUCCUGGUUUGAGAGGGGGCGCGGGAAAUCGGGGCGCCGUGGUGCUCCGCGGCUGGACGUGGGAGGAGGCCAGAGGUCCUGCAGGAGACCCUCUCCUGCGACGAGGUGGGGCUCGGUGAGGAGCACGGCAUGGAGGAGUCCCUCUCCUGUUGGGCUCGGAGAGCAGGACGAAGCAGAGCAGGAGGGAGUUCGAGUGGAGCUCGGGAUGAGGGGAGAUCGGGCGCUGCUGGGCAGAGGAGCUCAGGCUCCUGCGGGAUUAGAGCGGCGCGGCUUGGUUGGAUCGAUUGGA
rnacentral:rRNA from 1 species